GUUGAAUGCUAAUCCUCCUGCUCGCACAAUUGAAACCUCAUUCUCUGCUAUACAAUCAAAACAAUUCAUCUUCCAUCUCUCCACAUAAUGGACCCAGCUAUCAAAGUAUCCAAGACAGAAUUCUUCCUAUUUUUAGAGAAAACCUGAUCAAGUUCCAUGCAAUUGAAGUCUUGCCAGAAAAUAAUUAGAAAAGAGCAAAGACGGCCGGCGAAAAGAGAGGCGUGGGAGAGGAACGAAGAGGUGAUUUUUUAUCUUUAAUUUUGUUGGUCUCUGGAAGUUACCGGUAAUAGCCGGUAUUCUGUUUCGGAAGUGACAGGAUGUGAAUGAAUGAUCUUACGUGUCCUUCAAGUGACCGGCACUUGACUUGCGAACGACAUGUGACAUAUACAAAUGGUGGCAAUGAAUGAAAAGGAACCAAGUUCAAAUUUGAUUACAA